AUGUGAGCAGGGGCUUGGACUACAAAGCUCCAGAGAGGCUUCUUCCCACCUCACUCUUUCUGUGGGUAGAGCUGCGGUUUAUUAUAAAAAGCAAAACAGCUCA